rnacentral:rRNA from 1 species
UUUUAAUGGCCGCAGUAUAUUAACUGUGCAAAGGUAGCAUAAUCAUUAGUCUUUUAAUUGAAGGCUUGUAUGAAUGGUUGGACGAGAUACUAACUGUUUCAUAAAAAUUUAUAAUAGAAAUUUAUUUUUUAGUUAAAAAGCUAAAAUUUAUUUAAAAGACGAGAAGACCCUAUAAAUCUUUAUAUUUAUGUUAUUAUAAUUUUUUAGAUUUUAUUUUAUUAUAAUAUUUAAUAAUAUUUUAUUGGGGUGAUAUUAAAAUUUAUUUAACUUUUAAUUAUUUAAAUUCAUUGAUGUAUGAAUUAUUGAUCCAUUAUUAAUGAUUAAAAAAUUAAGUUACUUUAGGGAUAACAGCGUAAUUUUUUUGGAGAGUUCAUAUUGAAAAAAAAGAUUGCGACCUCGAUGUUGGAUUAAGAUAUAAUUUUAGGUGUAGCCGCUUAAAUUUUAAGUCUGUUCGACUUU